AGCUCCUCAGGCACAACUCCGACAACACCAUCUACUGGAACCGGCACAACCCCAAGCACCGGAACUACCCCUACCACCGGCACAACCCCUACCACUGGCACAACCUCUACCACUGGCACUACCCCUACCACCGGCACAACACCUACAGGCGCCACCCCAUACACGGCAACUCCUGGAGUACUAGGAGGCACUGGCAUGGGAAUAGGGCCAUCGGGAGCUGGCAUCAACACGGACGACAGCGGUGUGAUUAGACCUGUUGACACUACUAGCUUGUUUUCUUCUCUCCUAACCCUAUUCUUCUCAGGCUUGAUGCUUUGGUGGGACUGAAAAGGAAUUUAGUGGACGUGAGGAGGAGGUGGGGUAGGAUGUGCAAAUAUGAACAUCAUUUGGGACAUCCUUGCUAGGGUUGGAGGCAUCCAAACAUAGGCCUCACUACAGACUUUAGGACAAAACAUUCAGAAAGCUCAUGUACACGUAUGUAUACAUACAUUUAUAUAUAUAUAUAUAUAUAUAUAUAUAUAUAUAUGUGUGUGCGCGCGCAUAAUUACUUUUGUAAUGUGGUUCCACCCUGAACACGUAGAAAUGGAACUUGACUUCAACUAUAUAUGGAUGCCUUCAACCUUAAAGCUGUAUCACGUGGAUGGAAACAAAAUUCAUUUGGGCAGGGCUUCGAAUUUGGCCUUGAUUCGUGGUUGUGGGCAAUAUUUAUCGUUGGAGUGGGUCGAAUUCACUUCCUACAACUCGUCUUCCAUGAUGGUUGUGCGCUCCCGACUUGCCCGCGGCUGAGCCGCCUUACUAGGCCACACCUGUGGUGUAUUUUCGAUGUAGGCAACAGAUCUGUCUAGCGGCGGUGUUGCCCUUGCUAUGAAGACGAGCUGAUUUGUGGUUGUAUUCUUGGAUUAAAUAAUUUUAUUGUUUUGUGAUUGCUUCGACAACUUGUUGUGGCCUCGCUUGUUUGAGCGACGGCUUUGUGUGGACAUUGCGUACCAAAUUUGAUGUCAUUAUCGUCUUUGCAUUAGAUUUGAUCACUGGAGAAUAUGUACCUAAUAUGGCACCCUCUUGUAUUGUUCGGUUCUUCUCUCCUGUAUUGUUCGGUUCUUAUGAAUGAAGUCACUCUACCGUUGCCCUUCAAAACAAAAUUCAUUUAUUUUAAUUUUAUUAAGUAUACAUACGAACGUACAUUCUUAAAUUUAUAAGAUGAUGUAUCGUUAAUGGGUCAUUUGUUGAUAUUGUCGAUACUCUUGAUGAACUUGGUUGCGUAAAGAGCAGCUAACCUCCAUUAUAUUGAGGUCUCAAUCUUAGUAAGAGAGCAAUAUAAUUUUUAUCAAAUUUAAGGGCGGAGUAUUUUUGGAGCUAUAUAAUUUACAUCAAAUCCAGCAAUAAAAAAGGCAGUGGACUGCAUGUAAUUAGGCCUGGCAAUUCCUGACACGACCCGAUAACCUGACACGACACGACACGAAAUUAACAGGUGUUCGGGUCGACACGAUAACGAAACGGGUCGUUAUCGGGUAACCCGAUAAGCACCUGUUAAGAUAACGGGUUUGUUCGGGUAUACACGUGGGUAACACGAUACACGAUAAGUAGAAUAUUAAUUUAAUAAUUUAUAACCCUAAAAAAAUACUAUAAUAAUAUAUAUAUAUAUAUAUAUAUAUAUUAAUUUAACAAUUUUAUACCCCUAAAAACUAUAAUAAUUAUAUAUAUAUAUUAAAUUAACUAUAAUAAUUAUACCCAAAAUAUUAACUAUAAUAAUUAUAUAUAUAUAUAUUAAAUUUUAUACCCCUAAAAACUAUAAUAAUUAUACAUACAAAAUAAAUAGAUUUAAAUCUACUUAAUAAAUAAAUACAUAUACACCCACACACACACCAUUGAACUUCAUGGGAUACGAAUUAUACGAAAUUAAUUUCAACGAUCCAACCGUCAAACAUGUUUGUAUAUACUUCGAGAUCUCAUACGUCAAAAAUUGCAAAAAAAAACAUUCAGAGACCAAGUAACGGGACAAAACUUUUCGACGGUUAUAAACGAAAAAUCACGAUUUAACGGUCAUUUUAACUCCGAUUUUGAUGAUUUUUUACAACCACACUCCUUGACCCUAUAUGAAUACAAUGAUUGAAUUCGAUCUUCAAUUUAAAAUAUUUACACUAGUGGAUCUUAUGUUAUACUUAAUAAAAGUAUGAAUAAACUUUUAAGUAUUAGUGAAUCUAUUGUUUUGAUGGGAUACUCAUUCUACAAAACUAGUUUCAAUGAUCCAACCGUCAAACAUGUUUGUAUAUACUUCGAGAUCGCAUACGCCAAAAAUUGCAAAAAAAAACAUUUAGAGAUCAAGUAACGGGACAAAACUUUUCGACGGUUAUAAACGAAAAAUCACGAUUUAACGGUCAUUUUAACUCCGAUUUUGAUGAUUUUUUACAACCACACUCCUUGACCCUAUAUGAAUACAAUGAUUGAAUUCGAUCUUCAAUUUAAAAUAUUUACACUAGUGGAUCUUAUGUUAUACUUAAUAAAAGUAUGAAUAAACUCUUAAGUAUUAGUGAAUCUAUUGUUUUGAUGGGAUACUCAUUCUACAAAACUAGUUUCAAUGAUCCAACCGUCAAACAUGUUUGUAUAUACUUCGAGAUCGCAUACGCCAAAAAUUGCAAAAAAAAACAUUUAGAGAUCAAGUAACGGGACAAAACUUUUCGACGGUUAUAAACGAAAAAUCACGAUUUAACGGUUAUUUUAACUCCGAUUUUGAUGAUUUUUGACAACUACACUCCUUGACCCUAUAUGAAUACAAGUAAUGAAUUCGAUCUUCAAUUUAAAAUAUUUACACUAGUGGAUACCACAAAAUCUUAUGUUAUGCUUAAUAAAAGUAUGAAUAAACUAUUAAGUAUUAGAGAAUCUAUUGUUUUGAUGGGAUACUCAUUCUACGAAACUAGUUUCAAAGAUCCAACCGUCAAACAUGUUUGUAUAUACUUCGAGAUCGCAUACGUCAAAAAUUACAAAAAACAAACAUUCAGAGAUCAAUUAACGGGACAAAACAUUUUGACGGUUAUAAAAAGAAAAAUCAUGAUUUAACGGUCAUUUUAACUCUGAUUUUGAUGAUUUUUUGUAGCUAAACUCCUUGACCUUAUAUGAAUACAAUGAUUUAAUUCGAUCUUCAAUUUAAAAUAUUUACACUAGUGGAUACCACAAAAUCUUAUGUUAUACUUAAUAAAAGUAUGAAAUAAACUAUUAAGUAUUAGUGAAUCUAUUGUUUUGAUGGGAUACUCAUUCUACGAAACUAGUUUCAAAGAUCCAACCGUCAAACAUGUUUGUGUAUACUUCGAGAUCGCAUACGUCAAAAAUUACAAAAAACAAACAUUCAGAGAUCAAUUAACGGGACAAAACUUUUCGACGGUUAUAAAAAGAAAAAUCACGAUUUAACGGUCAUUUUAACUCUAAUUUUGAUGAUUUUUUGCAGCUACACUCCUUGACCUUAUAUGAAUACAAUGAUUGAAUUGGAUCUUCAAUUUAAAAUAUUUACACUAGUGGAUACCACAAAAUCUUAUAUUAUACUUAAUAAAAGUAUGAAUAAACUAUUAAGUAUUAGUGAAUCUAUUGUUUUGAUGGGAUACUCAUUCUACGAAACUAGUUUCAAAGAUCCAACCGUCAAACAUGUUUGUAUAUACUUCGAGAUCGCAUACGUCAAAAAUUACAAAAAACAAACAUUCAGAGAGCAAGUAACGGGACAAAAGUUUUCGACGGUUAUAAACGAAAAAUCAUGAUUUAACGGUCAUUUUAACUCCGAUUUUGAUGAUUUUUUACAACUACACUCCUUGACCCUAUAUGAAUACAAUGAUUUAAUUCGAUCUUCAAUUUAAAAUAUUUACACUAGUGGAUACCACAAAAUCUUAUGUUAUACUUAAUAAAAGUAUGAAUAAACUCUUAAAUAUUAGUGAAUCUAUUGUUUUGAUGGGAUACUCAUUCUACGAAACUAGUUUCAAUGAUCCAACCGUCAAACAUGUUUGUAUAUGUUUCGAGAUCGCAUACGCCAAAAAUUGCAAAAAACAAACAUUCAGAGAGCAAGUAACGGGACAAAACUUUUCGACGGUUAUAAACGAAAAAUCACGAUUUAACGGUUAAUUUAACUCCGAUUUUGAUGAUUGUUUACAACUACACUCAUUGACCUUAUAUGAAUACAAUGAUUGAAUUCGAUCUUCAAUUUAAAAUAUUUACACUAGUGGAUACCACAAAAUCUUAUGUUUAUACUUAAUAAAAGUAUGGUAUAGUACUAUUGUUUUAUUUUUUUUUCAUAAUUAUUUUGGUAAACUUCUCAUAAUUUGAAUGAUUUUUAAUGUUUGGUUUUUCUAUGCUUAGUUUAUGCAGAAGAGAGUUAUGACGUGGAAAACCUUACUGAAAACAUCAUCAACAUAACUCUUGAAGGCAAUAGAUCAAGCCAAAGUUCCAAUGCAAUUUCAUGAUGAUCAAUGUAAAUCGAGGAUUUUGUAAAUUGAGGUUUAAACUUUUGAGAAAGAUUUCACAACCUUGAAAACAAAAACUGUUUCAUUUUGCAUAUCCUUGCACAUUUAAAAUUUGUAAUAGAUUAGUAGUGUAUGUAUUAUUUUUUUAUUAGGCUCUUAUUUUCGAGUGUAGAUGUAGUACUUAAACAACAAAUGUAUUUUAAUGUUUUGAAGUAAUAUUUAUGUGGCAAUGUGUGGUAUGUGCAAAUUUAAGAAAAAAAAUAUAUUUUUCUUAACGGGUCAUAACGGGUGUGACACGACACGACCCGUUAAGAUAACAGGUGUUACACGAAAACGACACGAACACGACUGACACGACCCGUUUGCCAGGCCUACAUGUAAUGUAACACUAUGUUUGGAUGAAGAAAUUUAAGAUUACUAAGAAAUUUUAAAAUGACAGAAAUUGAAAUGACGAGAUUUUAUUUUCUAGAAUUUGUGAAUUUUCUUGUUUGAUUAAUCUAAAAACAUAAAGGGAGUUGAAUACGAAAUUUGUUAUUUUUAAGCUCUCAACCAUAGAAAUUGGGAAAUGACACCUAUUUACAUGAAAUUUAAACUUGGAAAUUAGAGGUCCCAAAUUCCAAGUUCUUUUCCACACGGAAAUUCUAAAUUUCUAUAUUUAUGAAUCCAAACAGAGAAAUUGGUGUAUGUCAAUUUAUAAAUUCUGACUUUUAUCUAAAUUUCAAGUUUAUUUUCCUCAUCCAAACAUAGUGUAACAGAAAAUUUAGCAUGUUCCGAUAAAUCACGCACACAAAUUUUAGCCGUUAAAACUGAACUUUUAGCAGUUAUAAGCGAGAUUUUAACCGUUAGAUCUUUAAUCAGGAUAAACAAUAAGAUACACCGAAGCAUAUUACAAAGGACUUUUAAUUAUACAAAGCAACCCGGUACAAGAGAAAUAAGACUCAAAAAACACAGUUUAAACAGUUUGAACAUCAUUACAGACGCUGCAGAAAACACAACAGUUUCCUUACAAGUUCACAACCUAUUUUACUCAUCCAUUUCCUCAAUCUUCAUCUUCUUCACAGCCUGAUCGGCAUCGCAUCCGACUUCUGCCCCAUCGCCGCAUCCACAAGCCCUCCGUUCUUCUCAACCCUGUACACAAGCCCGCUUCCGCUUGGCGCUGCAUCUAUGAACACGGUCGAGUUUUCAUCUAUUUCUUCUCGCACAAGCAUCCGCGACAACUCCUUCACCACCUUCUUCUCCAGCCAUCUCCUAAUAGGUCUGGCACCGUAAACCUGAAAACGAAAAAAGAGUACUUGUUUAGUGUUUCAUAUCACACAGGAGAAUGCAGAGAAAAUAUUUUUGGAUUCGUAAAACCGAUACUCACGGGAUCAUAACUCUCGCCCAGAAUGUAAUCCAACGCUGCAUCGGUGACUGCCAUAGCAAUGCCCUUCUCGGCCAGUCGGGCUGCAACAUCUUUCAUUUGCAAUCUGGCAACCUUCCUCAGUUGAUCGCGAGAGAGAGGGUCAAAUACAACAAUCUCAUCGAGAUGGUUCAGCAGCUCAGGGCUAAAGUGCCUUCUCACCUAUUCAAGAACCAAACUAGUUAAGUAUUGAAAGAACGAAGCGAUACGCAAUCAUAAUUCAAAUUUGGGGUAACCAAAGAUGAUACCUCUUUCAUAACUUCAUCGUGAGCAACCUGCAUCGAGCACUUGCCCAUCGAACCGGAGAGGAGAUGUUCUGCUCCCAAGUUUGAAGUCAUGACAAUCACCGUGUUUCUGAAAUCAACUGUACGGCCUUGUCCAUCGGUUAGUCUUCCAUCAUCCAAGACUUGCAGGAGUGUGUUGAAAGCAGCGGUGUGAGCCUUCUCCACUUCAUCAAACAAUACAACACUGUAAGGCCUCCGCCUCACGGCCUCCGUGAGUUGCCCGCCUUCAUUGCGACCAAUAUACCUGUAAAAUAUGAAUGAGUCAGAAUUCAUAAUGCAGCAGCGGAGCUCACAAACAUGCUUGAGCGAAGAAAACUAUGAAUGCAAUUACCCAGGGGGAGUGUCAAUUAAGCGCGAGACAGAAUGUUGUUCCAUAUACUCGGACAUGUCAAUUCUGACAAUCAGAUUCUCGUCAUCAAAAAGUUGUUCAGCAAGCGCCUUCGCAAGCUCGGUUUUACCGACACCAGUUGGGCCCAAGAAGAGGAAUGAACCAGUAGGUUGUUGUGGCCUUCCUAGCCCCGCUCUUGACAUUAAAACCGCCUCGGCGACAGCAUCAACUGCCUGGUCUUGCCCCACUACUCUCUUAUGCAACCUUUCCGCAAGUCCAAUUAACCUUUCCUUGUCAUUCUGGCCAAGCCGUGUGACAGGUAUGCCGGUCCAACGGCUAACCACCUCUGCAAUUUGUUCUGGUCCAACCGUCUCUGUCAAAAUCAAGUUUUCGGCAGUACUACCUUCAAGCUUUGCAAUGGUGGUUUCCACUUCCUGAAUAGGGCCACAACUCAAGUCAGCAGCCCUAGCCAAAUCAUAUCUUCUUUCGGCCUCUGCUAAAGCUACCAAGAGCUCUUCACGCUUCUGCUUAAGCUUUCGAAGCUCGUCCACCCUUUCCUUCUCCUUUCGAUACUUCAUCACCAGUGGCUGAAGCUUGUCUCUCAGUUCAUCAAGCUCUUUUCGCACCUGAGAACAAAAUGGCAGGAACAACGAACACUCUCUAAGAACAAAGAAAGACUUCAUCAGACAAAUACUUUCUAAUAACUUAUGGAUCAAGUAAUCACCUCGACAAGACGAGCUUUGCUAGCUUUGUCCUUUUCUUUCUCAAGUGCAUGAAGCUCAACUUCCAGCUGCAUCCUCUUCCUUUCGAGGUUAUCGAUUUCUUCAGGUUGGCUGUCAAGUUGGACUCUCACAUUCGCACAAGCUUCGUCAACUAGAUCAAUCGCCUUGUCAGGGAGAUGUCGCCCUACAAAACAAAAGCAAAGAGGAAAACUUCAAUACCAAGUAAUUUUUUACAGAACGUUGAUUUCAAAAUUGAAAGCUUACAAAUCCCUAAACAUAGAAAAUAGACCACAAUUGUUAGCUAUUUCUAAUGUAGAGUAAAUUGUAGCAAUGAUCUCUCAACUAAAAAUUCAUUACCAUUGGUUCCUCAACUUAUCAAAAUGUGUAGCUAUAGUCAUUUUUAUCAAUUUCGUCAAAAUUUUGUCAAAAUAAGUUACGUUGGAAUAACCAUUUAUAUAAUUAGGGUCCCUCAACUCAUCAAAGUGUAAUUAUGGUCAUUUUCGUCAACUACAUCAAAAAUUUUGUCAAAAUGAGUUACGUUGGAAUGACCAUUGCUACAAUUAGGUUAGAGUUAAGAGGUCAUUUCUUCAGUUGAAUUAAAGUUGAGGGACCAAUGGUAAUGAAUUUUUAGUUGAGGGAGCAUAGCUACACAUUUUGAUGAGUUGAGGAACCAAUGGUAAUUGAUUUUUAGUUGAGGGACCAUUGCUUCAAUUCAAUUAAAAUUAAGGGAUCAUAGCUACAAUUUACUCUCUAAUUUAUACCUGUGAUGUAUCGACUCGAAAGCUGUGCAGCAACAACAAGAGUUCUGUCCAGAAUCCGAACACAGUGGUGAUCCUCAUACCUCUCUUUCAAACCUCGAAGGAUGCUAAUUGUAUCCGGAACACUAGGCUCCGCCACAUAAACCUGCUGGAACCUUCUCUCAAAUGCAGCAUCUUUGUCUACAUAUUUUCUGUACUCCUCAAGAGUUGUUGCGCCAAUGUACCGAAGUUGCCCCCGUGCGAGCGUUGGCUUGAACAGGUUGCCUGCAUCCAUGGAUCCUUCCGUCCUUCCGGCGCCAAGAACAAGGUGAAUUUCAUCAAUAAACAGAAUCACCUUCCCCUCAGCCUCUUCCACUUCCUUCACAACCGCCUUUAACCGCUCCUCAAACUUCCCUCGAUACUUGGCCCCCAUAUCCAAUGCAAUGAGCCUUACAUCAGCCAAAUUACUUGGGACAUCCCCGCCAACUAUCCUCUGAGCCAGCCCUUCAACCACAGCAGUCUUCCCAACUCCCGGCUCUCCAAUUAGAACAGGGUUGUUCUUAGUCCUCCUCGAAAGAAUCCUCACCACUCUCCUUAUCUCCUCGUCACGGCCAAUAACCGGGUCAAGUUUCCCGGCCUGCUCAACAAGGUCCCGUCCAUAAGUCUUCAAUGCCUGAAAUGUAGUAUCCCCAGAAGCACUCUCCACCUUCUUCCCUUCCUUCCCACGAAGCUUUUCGACUUCAGAUUUCAUUCUGGCCGUGGCAAUGCCGGCUUCCUUCAACAAGUCACCAAUCUGGGAAUCCUCAAGAAGACUAAAGAUCAACUGAUCAACGGCCAAGUGUGUGUCCCCUCUUGUCUUCUGCGCUGACUGAGCUCUCCUAAUCACUUUGAUGAGAGAUGAACUGGCUAGGAUUUCAUACGGCGGAGGUGACUGAGAUGGGAGCUUCUUCAGGGCCUGGUUGAACACCCUCUCCACAGACUUCGGAGUGUCAACACUGCCACCGGCAUUGGCAAUGGCUUGGUUGAAAAUGCCACUGGGAUCAGAUACCAAUGCUGUUGCAAGAUGGAGUGGCGUGAACUGCGCGUGGCCAGCAUCCAUGGCCAGGACAUGAGCUCCGGCAAUAGUCUCAUUGGUCUUGUGGGUAAACUUAUCAGGGUUCAUUUUCCUUCACCAAUUUAUGAUACCUAACAUGCACUGCAAACAACAUGGGUGAGAUAAUAAAAAAAAUGGAACUUUAACGAAAAGCACUGGUACUGUUUACUUUAACGAAAAAUCAUAAUUUUACACUAAAAAGUCAAUCUUAGUACUAUUCACUUUACCCUUUAUUUUGUCAUUAUCAUUAAAACUCAAAGUUUUCAAGCCCUUUUCAUUAGUUUUCCUUAAAAAAAAUGGUUCUUUAGAUUUAAACCCUUGCAAUUUUUAAACUCUAGAUAAAAAUCCAUAUAUAUUAUAACUUCUAAAUAAAACGCACAUUUUCAAUAUUAUGUCAUGUUGGAUAAAAGAUGUCCAUGAAUUUGUGUUUAUUUUCAAAAUCAUGUCACCAAAUCUCUUAUACGUUUCUUUUGGACAUUUAAUUUGUUUAACAUAUUUUAAAUUUUGUGUGAACUACUCCAAUCCAAAACCUAAGUAGAUCAAAUAUAUACGGACAUAUAUUCUACAUUUAUGUAUACUAAUACCAUAAAAAUAAGUAGGUAAAUUAAUUUUGUUACAAAUUUAAAAAGUAGGCACAUCAAUUUUCAUGUAAUUAUACAGUAGGUAAAUUAUUUUCAUCAAAUUAAACAUAUUGUUUUCAAAAAAUUAAUUUUCAUAGUAGGUAAAUUUUUUCAUGUAAUUAUAUAGUUGGUAAAUUAUUUUCAUCAAAUUAAACAGUAGAUAUUGUUUAAAAAAAUUAUUUUUCAUAGUUGGUAAACUAUUUUCAUGUAAUUAUAUUGUAGGUAUAAAAUUAAACAAUAGAUAUUGUUUUCAUAAAAUUAAUUUUCCUAGUAGAUAAAUUAUUUUCAUAAAAUUAAACAAUAGAUAUUGUUGAAAAUAAACACUAAAUUAGGUACAUUCAAAUUGAAAUUUACUGUCGAAAUUAAAAAAAAUUCCAAAUUAAUUCAUCCAUCUAGAACGAUAUUUCAUGGCUACAAGACCUUGCCAAAUUCAAUGCACGUGAUCAAUUAAAACAAAAUUACAAGAACUUUUCAUACUGGCUUAGAUGGGGUAUAUUAGGGAUCUAAAAAAUAUAGAAACGGACACACAAAUUUAAUUUGGUAAGUUGCUUAGUUGGAUCCUAAUCAUUAGGUUUUAUUCGGAUAAAUAUUAUAUGAUGGGCUUGAGGCUAGAAAAAAUGAGUUUGGAGGGGGAAAGUUAAAUUUCUCAGCUAAAAAAAUAAAAGAUGCAAUCAUUGAUCAUGUCUUCCCAAUUUACGAAAUUCUUGAACUUCUUCAAUUCUUUUUCCGAGAUUGAAAACUGACAGAGACUUUACUACUUCAAUUAAUUCGUUCAAAACCCAAAACCCAUAUGGAAAUCAACUCUAAAAACUCAAAUAUUCAUAGAGAGGGAAGCAAGAGAAAUCUUGGACGUACCUUUUGAGGAGGAAGCUGAAGCUUUUCUGCAACAAUGGCGGGUAAGUACACAAUUGCGUUUCAAUAAUUUGAUAUGGUAUUUCUUUCGGUUGAUCGAAUCGUUGAUUCGUAGUGAGUUUUUUCUGAUGGGUGCUUUGGGAGAGUGAGUGAGACUUUAAGGAGGAGAAACUCCAAUGUACGGGUACCUUAAAAAAUUUAUUGUGACACAUGAAUGCGAUGGUUCACACACCACAUUACUACUUUACAAAAAGAUGAUGUAUAAAUUGAUGACCAAGAAAUGAAUGCUGUUUGUAUUUUGACAAGAGGUAAAAUAGUUAAGGACUUCGUUACAAGUACAUAUAGUUUUGUAUCCAUAAUAUUAUUAGCAUAAAACGACACAGUGACAUAAAGAUAAGUUGCUUUCGGUAAAAAAAAAAAGUUUAGUUUUAGCUACGUAUUUUAGAACUCCAUUGUAUUGACUUUAUGCCUGUAACUAAAAAAAUGACUAAUUUACUUCUUAAAACUCAAAAUUUGCUCUACUUAGCUUGUGGACUUUCUAUUCUCCCUAAAACUUAUAGAUUGCUUUCUAAAACAUAUAUAUGAGCCAACAUUCAAUAAGAAUAUGCCAUAUGUGCAAUAAAUUUGAUUAUGAGUAAACAUUCAAUAAUCAGAUAAUAUUAAGUUUAAAAGAAAUUGAAGGGAUGAAAAAAAUUAGAAAGGAAAUUGAUUCGCCUGGCUCACUCAAAUCAAACCCACACAUAAGAAACUAUUGUAAGAUCCCAUAUCGCUCAAGGGAGUGAUCCUUAUAUGUAUAUCACAUCCCUACCUAGCACGAGGCCUUUUGGGAGCUCACUGACUUCGGAGUUCAUAGGAACUCGGAAGUUAAACGAGUAGCGCACGAGAGCACUCCUAUGAUGGGUGACCCAUUGGGAAGUUCUUGUGUGAGUUCCCAGAAACAAAACCGUGAGGGCAUAGUCGGGGCCCAAAGCGGACAACAUCGUACUACGGUGGUGGAGCGGGUCCGGGAUGUGACAACUAACAUAUCUAAGGUAAUAUGUCACGAAUCAAAUCGUGUCUAAUGGGGCAAAAUGCAAUGGAUUUUGAAUUCUAGAGAAUAAACUAACCACUUUUGAGUUACAAUGAAAAUAAAAUAAUUAAAUUAGAGUUCAGAAAAGCAUAACUAAAAUUAAGAAAUUACAAGCUUAUACCCGCCACACUCGAUAGCUGCUGGGUUAGGUCUUAGCAUGAGACACAUGGAAUCCUAUGUGAAUCAGCGAGGACCACCUUGCAAGGCUAAAUACUCAUGGGUGAUUGAUAUUGAAGUAGUACCGUGAGGGAAGGGUGAAAAGAAUCUCUAUUGGGGAGUGAAAUAGAACAUGAAACCGUAAUCGGCCACAUUAAAAUUACCUUAUGGGGAGGUCCGUUUGAUAUCCAAAAACUGCUUAGCAACAGUUGGGAUUUUUUACCUAAUUUAAAAUUUGAUAAUCAAGGAAUUUAUCUACUCCAUCUGACUAGUUCUGGGUUCGAGUCCUGGGCAACCCAUUAAAAUUAGCAUAUCAAAAUCAUGUGUAUAUAAAUCCUUUAAAUUCAUUUCAUUAAAAACUUGUUAAAAACUAUACACAUCGCGAGACGGAGAAAAAAGAAAAGGAAAACUAAUGAAAAGUGUCACAUCCCAAAUCGGCUCUGCCGUAGCACAAUAUUGUCCUUUUUGGGCCCCGGCCACACCCUCAUGGUUUUGUUUCUGGGAACUCAUACGAGAACGUCCAAGUGGGUCACCUAUCAUUGGAAUGCUCUCACUCAAACUUGGUUAACUUCGGAGUUCCAAUGGAAUCCGAAACCAAUGAGUUCCUAAAAAGCCUCGUGCUAUAUGGAGAUGGUCAUGUAUAUAUAAGGCACAUAACCCUCUCUCUGUUGGUCAAUGUGGAAUGUUACAAUCCACCCCCUUAGGAGGACGUUGACACACUUGCACCACACGACAGAGUGACUUUGAUACCAUUCUAUCACAUCCCAAACAGGCUCCGCUGUAACACAAUAUUGUCCUUUUUGGGCCUCUGCCACGACCUUACAGCUUUGUUUCUUGGAACUCAGACGAGAACUUCUCAGUGGGUCACCUAUCCUGGGAACGCUCUUACCCGAACUUGCUUAACUUCAGAGUUCCGAUGGAAUACGAAGCCAGUGGGUUUCAAAAAUGUCUCAUGCUAUAUAGAGGUGGUCAUGUACAUAUAAGGCACAUUAUCCCCUCUCCGUUGGUCGAUGUGGGAUGUUACAAAAAAAAGCUUAAAAACUUUGAGUUUUAAUAAAAAAGAUAAAAAUGUGUUGUAAAUAAAUAGUAUUAAGAAUGACUUUUUAAAGUAAAAAUAUCAUAAUCGUUAAAAAUGAUCAGUAUAAGAAUUGUUUUGUUAAAACUCUCAAAAAAGAAAGGUACCCCCAAGCUGACAACAUACUGAGCCACUAUCACCGCACCGUCAACAUCACCAAGUUUUUUACUUUUUUAUUUUUUGGUUUUUGAGUUUCUAGAGAUAUACCCAUGUUUCCUUUCUCUCACACACCCUCAUCCAACUUCUCCUUGUCUCUCUCUCUCUCUACCUAACUUCAGCAGUAGCUAGAUUGCUUUGAGCUCCACUGUUACCUUACCACACACUACUCUCGCUCUCUCUUUCCCUUCAACCAUGGCUGCCCUUGCUUUUGCAGCUCUGCUUCUCUUAGCCAUGGCUGGCCAGUUAAGUAAGAACACAUUUAUGUAUUUUCCAUAUAUAUUUUUUUUGGUGAAAUGGGUAUUUUUCUCUACCAUAUUUCCUAUAUUUUACUUAUCUAAUGAAGCCAAUAAACCAUUUUAGUUUUUUUUUUUUAAAUGCCAAUUUCCCUUACUAGUAAUGUGUUCAUUUUUCCUUCUAACUUGUAUUUAUGUUAAAGAUUUCAUAUUUCUCUUAAAGUUUGCAUUUUUGGGGUUUCAAUUAAAAAGAAAAAAAGAUCUGAUCUUUGGUCUUCCUACCAUAUAUAAAUUCACCCCUUUUAAUAUUUUGAGAGUCUGAUUUAUUUAUUUAUUUGUGGGAAAUAUGUUUAUGUAGGAGCAAACUGGUGUGUUUGCAAAGAUGGAGACCCUGCAGCCCUGCAGAAGGCACUGGACUAUGCCUGUGGAGCCGGGGCAGAUUGCAACCCCAUAAAACCCAAUGGAGUUUGCUACAACCCCAACACUAUCAAAGCUCACUGCAGCUACGCCGUCAACAGCUUUUUCCAGAAGAAGGGCCAAUCCACCGGUACUUGUGACUUUUCUGGCGCUGCAACCCCUACUACCUCCGAUCCCAGUAAGUCCCCAGAUCCUUCUCUUUUGGGUUUAAUUUUAUUAGCUUUAUGGUUGAUUUUUUUGGGUAUAAAUUAAUUAGAUUAAAGAUUAAAGGUGGUAACUUUUUUUUAAUUUCAUGGUGUUUUUACAGGCUCAAAUGGUUGUACUUACCCUGCCAGUGCCAGGUAUGGUUAAUUUGCACCAUUUUUUAUUUUUUCUGAUUUUCAAGGGUUUUAUUUAUUUUUUGUUAAUUAGGAUUUAGUACUACUUUAAUCUUGAAUGUCUUCAAUUUGAUGCCUGACACUCCACAGUCCACAGUACUUACUCUCUGGAUUUCAAAUUUUAGGGUAGGGCAGAAACACUUGAUUAAAACAUAAGUAGAACUGUAGGAAAAAGCACUUUUAUUAAAAGACAAAAUAUGACUUGAUGGGACAAAGAGUUACCCUACUCCUCUUAGUCAUUUGACUGUAAAAAACUUGGGUUAAUAUUUUAUUCUGCUGCCUUGUUACAUUCCAUCAACUGAAGGAGAAAUUUUUCACUAUCGGGAACGCGGUUUCAUACACCUAGUGACAUCUUAUAAAAAAAUUCUAACUAUUUUUACAUUUGUCACCGGUGCAUUGUUGGAAAAGGGCCAAUAGGCAUCAUUGCCUAUGCCGUUGUCAUUGAAAAAAGGAUGCUUUUUUGAACUAACUAAUCACUAUUUUUAUUGUAAUACAUUCAUCAUAAAAAUGAUUUCUUCACUCAUUUUUUCUUCUUCUUCACUCCGUCUCCUGAUUUUUGUUUGCUUUAUUUCAUUCAAAGGCCUAAAACAGAUACAAUUGUGUGCAUAAGUAGAAUAACGACGUGCGGAAAUCAUUUUCCUUUCAAUAUACUUUAUAAUUAUUAUCCAACACCCUCCUUUUUCUUUUUGCUUUGUUCAAUCUAAUUGAGCUCUUUUUAUGGUUUGACUAGUAUUGUAACGUGCAUCAUGAUUCAGUACUAAUUUCCCUUUUUUUGGUAGUGAAGCUCAGUAAAUUUUCCCAAAUAAUUGGGUAUCCAAUGCUUUAUUUUUAAAUCAUCCCCCACACCCACCAAAACAAAAAGAAAGGGGGGAAGGUUUAAUCUUGUUGAAAAAAAACAGUAAAAGGUCAAAAAAUGUUGUCACAGAAUUGCCAUCGUGGCCAUGGCGAACAAAGACGUUACCUUUUUUGGCUUCAGGCGCCGUACACUGCAUUUUUCACGUUAUGCAAUACAUUGUCUGUCAGCAGAGUCAAAAAUUCAAAAGUAGUGGGCACAAACAUCUGUGGUAAAAGAGCUUUUGUCUUCAUAUAUGCUUUGGGAUGCUGUCUUUUGGAGAUUUGAGCCUUCUUUUUUGAAGUUUUGUAUUCUCGACUGCCGUGCCUUUUUAAUCCCCACCCCCCAUGGUUAGAAUUUGCCUCAUAAACUCAGGAGGAUUCGGUGUCUCAGAUUAAUAAUUCAAUAUUUUGUGUUUUAACUUUAUUAGAAAAGAAAUUAGGAACAAUUGUGCAUGAGUUUUAUGAAUCUUAUCCGCGACACUCGCAUGGCUGUCUGAGACGCUAACAGAAAUACAGUGUCGUGUGUUUUAACUUCCUCAUGUGGCAUUGUAUUGUUGUUCCUUAUUUCUCUCCUUUUGCUUUAAAAUUUUUCCCAGGUUUAUGAUGGUCUACAUUUGAUGCAUCUCAUUCAACAGUAAAAUAUUUCUAACAUUUUUAAUUAGUACUUCCGAUAAUUUUUUUAAUUCAAAAGCUUUCCGGAAAGACCUUUGAUGCUAAUGUACUUUAACUACUUUCGUUUAUAAGUAGUGCCGUGCUUUCUUCUCUCAUACAUUAGUGGAUUUGGACGCAGUUUGCAGAUGGGGCCUACGAUAUUUAUAUUAGUGAUUAAUUAAUAAUUAUCCCCUCUCAAACAAUGUUUAGGAGAAAUAUUUCAAUGGGCCGGUAAGACAGCUUGGUACAUCAAGUGUCAUAAUACAAGUGGAAACAAGAUAUUUUUUCCUAAGUAUUCAACCAUUUGUAUUGUAAUACUUGGUGUAUCGGAGCUGUGUUCUUGGCACAAUGAAAAAUCUCUCCGAAACAAAGUACUUAAAUGGAAUAGGAAAUCAAUAUCCUUUGAAUCCGCAGUAAGUGACUGAUCUUCAAUGGAGGAUCACAUUUUGCUGAAACGGCGUAUGUUUAUGUGAAAAUCUCAAGUGAGUCAUAGUUUUCUUCAUAAAAAUGAAAGGAACUCAGUGACGUCGAAGCGACAGACUACUAGGCGUGUCAGUCAGCUCAGUUUUGUUGAACAGGCAUAAGUUUAAAUCAGCUUACAUGAUUGUACUCCAUGCCUAAAUAUGAUCCGAAAAAAUAUUAUGUCUUCUUGGGUCGUGACAGUGCAGCAUCGCAUAAAAUGUACAUUGUCUUCGUCUUCGGAUGCAACUUUGAAUAGUUAUUCAUAUCUGUGAACUAGUUUCUGGACGAAGAUCAAAGCUUGCUUUACCAGCAUCUCUCUAAGGUUGACUGCUUUUGCAAUAUCAUGCUUGUUCCUUUACAUCCCAUUUCAUAUGAUGGAGAUUAUCUAUCCCGAAGAGUGGUUUGUAGGAUCUCCGAUGAGCUCUAUGCUGCACGGACUCUGUUCAGGCACUGCAUAACCAUAUGGCAUCGUAAAUUUUCGUGAAAAAUUAUUACUUGUUUAUCUUCCAUGAGUUUUAUUUUGUAUUCUCUCAUUCUGUAUGCUUCACAUGAUCGUGUGCGUGCAGCUUCGAUUCUGGCAUUUCUAAUUGUUGUGUUUGGUGUGUUAAAUAUUGCUUUUCUUUGUCCUUCAGCUCCUCAGGCACAACUUCGACAACACCAUCCACUGGAACAGGCACAACUUCGACAACACCAUCCACUGGAACAGGCACAACCCCAACCACCGGAACUACCCCAACCACCGGCACAACCCCUACCUCCGGCACAACCCCUAUGACUGGCACAACACCCACAACUGGCACAACACCUACAGGCACCACCCCAUACACAGCAACUCCUGGAGUACUAGGAGGCAUUGGCACGGGAGUAGGGCCAUCGGGAGCUGGCAUCAACACGGACGACAGCGGUGUGAUUAGACCUAUUGACGCUACUAGCUUGUUUUCUUCUCUCCUAACCCUAUUCUUCUCAGGCUUGAUGCUUUGGUGGGCCUGAAAAGAAAUUUAGUGGGCGUGAGGAGGAGGAGGUGGGGUAGGAUGUGCAAAUAUGAACAUCUUAAGGGACAUCCUUG
rnacentral:lncRNA from 1 species